rnacentral:rRNA from 1 species
UUGAACGCUGGCGGCAGGCCUAACACAUGCAAGUCGAACGGUAACAGGAAGCAGCUUGCUGCUUUGCUGACGCGUGGCGGACGGGUGAGUAAUGUCUGGGAAACUGCCCGAUGGAGGGGGAUAACUACUGGAAACGGUAGCUAAUACCGCAUAACGUCGCAAGACCAAAGAGGGGGACCUUAGGGCCUCUUGCCAUCGGAUGUGCCCAGAUGGGAUUAGCUAGUAGGUGGGGUAACGGCUCACCUAGGCGACGAUCCCUAGCUGGUCUGAGAGGAUGACCAGCCACACUGGAACUGGGACACGGUCCAGAGUCCUACGGGAGGCAGCAGUGGGGAAUAUUGCACAAUGGGCGCAAGCCUGAUGCAGCCAUGCCGCGUGUAUGAAGAAGGCCUUCGGGUUGUAAAGUACUUUCAGCGGGGAGGAAGGGAGUAAAGUUAAUACCUUGGCUCAUUGACGUUACCCGCAGAAGAAGCACCGGCUAACUCCGUG